UACAGAGGGGGCGAGCGUUAUUCGGAAUUAUUGGGCGUAAAGAGCUCGUAGGCGGUCUGUCGCGUCGGUCGUGAAAACUUGGGGCUUAACCCUGAGCUUGCGGUCGAUACGGGCAUGACUGGAGUUCGGUAGGGGAGACUGGAAUUCCAGGUGUAGCGGUGAAAUGCGUAGAUAUCAGGAAGAACACCAACGGCGAAGGCAGCUCGCUGGGACGGUACUGACGCUGAGACGCGAAAGCGUGGGGAGCGAACAGG
rnacentral:rRNA from 1 species